rnacentral:rRNA from 1 species
UACAGAGGUGUCAAGCGUUGCUCGGUGUCACUGGGCUUAAAGGGCGCGUAGGCUGUGCAGUACGGCUCGGGUGAAAUCCCUCGGCCCAACCGAGGAACUGCCCGGGCGACGGCUGCGCUGGACUGCAUCAGGGGCGGAUGGAACUCCCGGUGUAGAGGUGAAAUUCGUAGAUAUCGAGAGGAACACCGGUGGCGAAGGCGGCCAACUGGACGAAUACUGACGCUGAGACACGAAAGCGUGGGGAGCAAACAGG